rnacentral:rRNA from 1 species
UACGUAGGGACCAAGCGUUGUUCGGAUUUACUGGGCGUAAAGGGCGCGUAGGCGGCGUGGUAAGUCACUUGUGAAAUCUCUGAGCUUAACUCAGAACGGCCAAGUGAUACUGCUGUGCUAGAGUGCAGAAGGGGCAAUCGGAAUUCUUGGUGUAGCGGUGAAAUGCGUAGAUAUCAAGAGGAACACCUGAGGUGAAGACGGGUUGCUGGGCUGACACUGACGCUGAUGCGCGAAAGUUAGGGGAGCAAACGGG